rnacentral:pre_miRNA from 1 species
AUCUUUGGUUAUCUAGCUGUAUGAGUAUUGUAGACAUCAUAAAGCUAGGUUACCGGAGUU